rnacentral:rRNA from 1 species
UAGUCCACGCCGUAAACGAUGCUCACUUGUUGUCUGCGAUACACAGUAGGCGACUAAGGGAAACCAUUAAGUGAGCCACCUGGGGAGUACGUUGGCAACAAUGAAACUCAAAGGAAUUGACGGGGGCCCGCACAAGCGGAGGAACAUGUGGUUUAAUUCGAUGAUACGCGAGGAACCUUACCUGGGCUUAAAUGUAUAUUGCAUUAUUUGGAAACGAAUAUUUCUUUCGAGACUAUUUACAAGGUGCUGCAUGGUUGUCGUCAGCUCGUGCCGUGAGGUGUCGGGUUAAGUCCCAUAACGAGCGCAACCCCUAUCGUUAGUUGCCAUCAGGUUAAGCUGGGGACUCUAACGAGACUGCCACCGUAAGGUGUGAGGAAGGUGGGGAUGACGUCAAAUCAGCACAGCCCUUAUGUCCAGGGCUACACACGUGUUACAAUGGCCGAUACAAAGAGCAGCCACCUGGCGACAGGGCGCUAAUCUCAAAAGUCGGUCUUAGUUCGGAUCGGAGU